AGCUUGACUCUGGGGAUUUCGCACGAAGUCGAGUCUCGAUUUAAUCUUCCCCGCUCCUACAGCGUUGAAAUGAUACGUUCACGUCGUCUCCCCUGGUCUCGUCCAGUUUUAGGGAAGCGUUCAUCGGAGUAAACAAAAUUGCCUCUCGUAAAGCAAUCUGCAAGUCCGAGAGAAAGAAAGAGAGAGAGAGAGAGAUCACCGAACAGCUGCGUGGUUGAGAUUGAGAAGAAACUCUUGGAAUCCGUUUAGCACCUCGGCCACGCCAGAUGUUCUUUUCUCUCUUUCACAACGGUCACCGAGGGUACCUCUCGGCUUGGCCACUCGCGCCAGCGCGUAUUAAUUACGGCCGGCUAAUGGAAGCUAACAUGUUCGCCGGCCUAACUUCUCUCGGCCAGCAAGAACCAACACUCUUCGAGUGGAUCUCGUGGCGCAACGUGACCGCACACGCACUUCUCCGGCACCUGGAAACUGUUACACGCGCACGUGGUGGUCGAGGUGGACAGAAGAGAGUAUAUAGUCUCCGACUCGCCGAGGGCAAGAAAAAAAAAAAGGGUCCCACGUGACGAAGAGAUUUCCUCGUAUCGCGCUAAUUCACUGGUCGAAGCGACGCGACAACGCGAGCGCCGAAUCCACGACUGACAAUGCCUACACUAUCGAACGUUACGUUACGUUCCGCGAUAACAAACACCAAAACGUGCCGCGGACGGACUGCGUCGGAUCCGCGAGCGUAUGUGCUCGCGCGCCGUUUUCGGGAUCGACGAAACGGAAAAGCCCCGGAGGAGAGGAGCGCGUCGAGAAGACACACGCCGCUGAUGCGAUCGCGCGUACACGCACGUACCCGCACACUUGGGCCCGAACUUCGCUCGCUCUUAGCGCGGCUUACCGCAUUUCGUGAUCGGCGUACGUGCGAGCGUCACGUAAUGCGCGCGCGGCGUGGAAAGUACACGCGGCGGGUACGGCGUUCACGCGUUCGAGCGUCGUUAAGUAUUCGUCGUGCGCGCAGAUAAGAGAGCCGAGAGAGUCACCGGCGCGGUGAACGAGAGCCUCCACGACGGUCGGCGACGACGGCUCCGUUCGGCCAGCUGCGCUGGCCACGUAAACAUAACUAGGUACUCGCGGCGCGGAUCCGCGAGUCUGACCCUGCACGGGGCGUAACCACUCGUACGGAGAGGCUGGCGGCCAGCGUCACUUUUCACCGCGGCAUUGGACGGCGCCCGGCCACGCGGUGGGAGCACCGUUGCUGACUGCGCACUAUAAUUAUAACGUUCUCAGUCGCCAUCCAUCUUGCUUGACGCAGUAAUCCAAAAAUAUUCAAUCAGUUUCAAGGACGAUACGCGACGCAGCGGGACAUUGUUGCGACGGCGAAUGCCACUUCCGAAUUCCGAGCGCGAUUUUACGCGACAGCAAAUAAACGCGACUCGAGCCGAGCGACAGCGCGGGCAGGUAAGCGGAUUUGCAGAACCGCCGCCGUCGCAGACCCCGAGCUACAACGAAGCUUUGCAAAAAUCACGGGCGGUAGCUACUCUCGCAAGCCGGUUGCGAGAGCAGUACCCUCGGUCAGGGUCGGCGAGUGUAAGCAACCACGAGGAUAGAUCAACGUCGAUGUCGCCUCAUGUGUCGCCGGCACUAAAAGCCGGGCGAUAAGCGUGAUAUUAAGCGCGUCGUCGUCGUCGUUGUCGUUGGGAACAGAUUAUCAGGGCGUAGGAAUACAACGAUGAUAACGCGGCCCACUGUAAUAUCAGUUUCGCGGUCCGCGAGACAACUAUUCUAAACUCGAGUGCGGCGAAAAACCGCAACGGAAAUAGUCGUGAUACAAUGAACGUGGUAAGCCGAUAUUCAGAUCGGACCUGAUUCAAACAUAAGCGCGCGGUAACUAAAUCGACCGGGCAAAUGGAAUUUAAACGGCUGCGCAUAUCGGAUCGACUCGCUAGAGAAUCGACGGACUCGAAAAUCCUCUCAAGCCGGUUCCCAACGACUCGUUUGCUCGGCCAGACUUCGUGGCAGACUUCGAGAGUCUUCGCAAGAGCGUGUGACGAAUAAUGGUAACGAUUAACGCAGACGAAGGAGGAAAAAUCAUAACGUUGCAUCCUCUUUUUUUUUAAUAUAAUAACAGCGAUCACGGUGCAUUGCCGCUUGUUAAUGACGAACUCGACGAACUUCCAGGCAAAAGUGCAAAUUGGAUUAAUAAUCACGAUUGAUUAAAAUUGUUACUGAUGACGCGACAUAUCUCUCUCGCUCACAUUGCACUUUCCAUUACGUGAGAAAUGGCACGAUAAAUCUAUUACAUAAGUGCAAACAUUUCGCAUAGAUGAAUCAUUUAGAGGCUGUUUUUUUUUUUUUUUAAUGAUGGCUCGCUGCACGGUUCGAAUCUCAUGCCGAGGUAGGCGAAUUCUUGAACACGCGAUUUCACAGUUGUAAUCUGAGUAGCUGCAAUUUCUAUUGCAAGAUAACGCCGCAACGAAGCAACGUUGCAACUGUUUCCUCCUCGAUUCAUCGCGCAUAAUCAAAGCUUUUUUUUAUUUGUAUAUAUUUGCUGCGGAAUAUUUACUGGCCGUUAUAGUUAUGAACAUUUUGCGUUUUAUCACGUUAUAUUAUCACGAAAUAGCGAGCUGAAGUAUUCUUCAAAUGCUUUCUUUGCAUUGCUUUUAAAGGAGAAUCUUAAAAAUAAUCACAAAGAUAUUUUUUCAUUUCACCGAAAUUAUUAUAUGUAAUUAAUGUGCUCUUUAACGUAAAUUGUAGCAAUCAUUUUCGAUGGGAUUUAUUAGUUGGAAAAUAAAAAUACAAGAGAGACAAGUGAGCACAGAUACAUAACUGUGUUAUGGCAAAUGGAAAAUUGCAUCCACUUAUCGCCACUUGUUAUAUUCUUCAACUCUUUGGAAAUGCUGUUAAACGAGAUUAAAUAUUGGAUGCUGCGAUGAUAUUCGCUAACGAUUUUCGCUGCGGGCGAUAAUUGACGCGACCGUUACCGAUACACUAUCUCCCUUUCUCCUUCCUCCCUUUCCCCUAACAUCGUCAUAAAUCUCUGCGAUGCGUGCAUGCACACGAAUCAAUAAUGCGGCACGCAUCAUCGACGAAUGUGCGCGCCGAAUGUCAACCUGUGGUGGAGAGACGAGAUCGAAACGACACGUCGCCGACGCUCCUUCGGGUGAAUCAAUUUUCGUUUCUAUUAUUACAGGGGCUGACGAGAUGCAACAGCGAAAGAAGGGAGAGAUGACUCACUUUGCCGGGUACACGUGCGCGCGCGUGUAUGUGUGUGUGUGCGCGCACGUGCGCGCUCUCGGUUCCGCGCUCAGCGAAGAGAUGAAGGCGUGAGUCGCACCGCUGCAACGAUCACUGGCUGCAAUCACCGCGUCUCUCCUUCAUUACUCAUCGCCUAAGUGAAUGAUGCAAAUCAUGUUCCGGGUAAACAGUCGCGUUUACAUGCGUGCGCGUCCACGCGCGCGCAAGAGAGAGAGAGAGAGAGAAACGUUGCAUCUCACGUUUACGUUAAACGCGUAUGCGUUUCUCUUUUUCCUUGCGUCGGCGUAGGACAGCGGUUCCCAAUCCGCCUCGACUCUCGCGAAUUCCUUCGCAAUACGUUUGUGACGGUGGUAUCAAUUCUGUAUCGAAAAUGAAAAAAAAGACUAGUUUCCGAAAGAUCUCGCUGAGGUUUUUGACUUUAUUCUUAUUAUCUGGUAAAAAUUCGUAUCUCGAAAAAAAAAAA
rnacentral:lncRNA from 1 species